CCUACGGGAGGCAGCAGUGGGGAAUAUUGCACAAUGGGCGCAACCCUGAUGCAGCCAUGCCGCGUGUGUGAAGAAGGCCUUCGGGUUGUAAAGCACUUUCAGUAGGGAGGAAAGGUAAUAGUUUAAUACGCUAUUACUGUGACGUUACCUACAGAAGAAGGACCGGCUAACUCCGUGCCAGCAGCCGCGGUAAU
rnacentral:rRNA from 1 species